UUGCAGUUAAAAAGCUCGUAGUUGGAUUUCGGAGUGGGCCAGUUGGUCCGCCGCAAGGUGUGUUACUGACUGGUUUGCUCUUCUUCGCAAAGACUGCGUGUGCUCUUUAUUGAGUGUGCGUAGGAUUUACGACGUUUACUUUGAAAAAAUUAGAGUGUUCAAAGCAGGCUAUUGCUUGAAUACAUGAGCAUGGAAUAAUGGAAUAGGAUUUUGGUCCCAUUUUGUUGGUUUCUAGGACCGAAGUAAUGAUUAAGAGGGACAAUUGGGGGCAUCCGUAUUUCGUUGUCAGAGGUGAAAUUCUUGGAUUUACGAAAGACGAACAACUGCGAAAGCACUUGCCAAGAGUGUUUUCAUUAAUCAAGAACGAAAGUUAGAGGAUCGAAGACGAUCAGAUACCGUCCUAGUUCUAACCAUAAACGAUGUCGACUAGGGAUCAGCGGGCGUUAUCGUACGACCCCGUUGGCACCUUACGGGAAACCAAAGUUUCCUGGAUUCCGGGGGGAAGUAUAGUCGC
rnacentral:rRNA from 1 species